rnacentral:rRNA from 1 species
CCCGGUGCCGAUACCUGAGGGGCCACACCCGUUCCCAUUCCGAACACGGCCGUUAAGCCCUCCGGGCCGAAGGUACUGCAGCCACGCGGCUGUGGGAGACUAGGUAGCGCCGGGG